rnacentral:rRNA from 1 species
UUAAAUCAGUUAUUGUUUAUUUGAUAGCACCUUACUACAUGGAUAACCGUGGUAAUUCUAGAGCUAAUACAUGCUAAAAAUCCCGACUUCGGAAGGGAUGUAUUUAUUAGAUUAAAAACCAAUGCCCCUCGGGGCUUUCUGGUGAUUCAUGAUAACUUCUCGAAUCGCACGGCCUUGCGCUGGCGAUGGUUCAUUCAAAUUUCUGCCCUAUCAACUUUCGACGGCUGGGUCUUGGCCAGCCAUGGUGACAACGGGUAACGGAGGGUUAGGGCUCGACCCCGGAGAAGGAGCCUGAGAAACGGCUACUACGUCCAAGGAAGGCAGCAGGCGCGCAAAUUAACCAAUCCCGACUCGGGGAGUUAGUGACAAUACAUACUGAUACAGGGCUCUUUUGGGUCUUGUAAUCGGAAUGAGUACAAUUUAAACCCCUUAACGAGGAACAAUUGGAGGGCAAGUCUGGUGCCAGCAGCCGCGGUAAUUCCAGCUCCAAUAGCGUAUAUUAAAGUUGUUGCAGUUAAAAAGCUCGUAGUUGAACCUUGGGCCUGGCUGGCCGGUCCGCCUCACCGCGUGCACUGGUCCGGCCGGGCCUUUCCCUCUGGGGAACCUCAUGCCCUUCACUGGGUGUGCUGGGGAACCAGGACUUUUACUUUGAACAAAUCAGAUCGCUUAAAGAAGGCCUAUGCUCGAAUAUAUUAGCAUGGAAUAAUAGAAUAGGACGUGUGGUUCUAUUUUGUUGGUUUCUAGGACCGCCGUAAUGAUUAAUAGGGACAGUCGGGGGCAUCAGUAUUCAAUUGUCAGAGGUGAAAUUCUUGGAUUUAUUGAAGACUAACUACUGCGAAAGCAUUUGCCAAGGAUGUUUUCAUUAAUCAGGAACGAAAGUUAGGGGAUCGAAGACGAUCAGAUACCGUCGUAGUCUUAACCAUAAACUAUGCCGACUAGGGAUCGGACGAUGUUAUUCAUUGACUCGUUCGGCACCUUACACGAAAGUAAAGUUUUUGGGUUCUGGGGGGAGUAUGGUCCCAAGGCUGAAACUUAAAGAAAUUGACGGAAGGGCACCACCAGGGGUAAACCUAACCGCAGUUAACUCUGCCCCGGAAAGCAGCCCGAUGAAAAGGGUUAGUGGUGUUCCUCAGCGCUCGGAUGCCGGCGCUGGAACUAAGUGCUAGUCCGCCUCGGGAGUCUGUGACUNNCCGGGCGGGNGACACCUUCAAAUUGCGGGAAGUUCCUAAAGCUCGUGUGACUAACCGGCGUGCGAAAGCUCGUCGGGGCCCGGUUAAUCGCCACAGGGGAGUAACACUACGCGAGAUGCUACAAUGGAUGAUCCGCAGCCAAGCUCCUAACGCCAGUCACUGGUUACGGAGAAGGUUCAGAGACUUGAUGGAGGUGGUCGUUCACUGAAGAUUUGGCUUCGUUGGCGUACAUUCACUAUUUGGAGGGCUCUCCAACGGUGGCUGUACACUACAAUUCGAGGUUCUUCGGUGCUACGGCUAAGAUAAAGUCCGGCCCUACAGGAAACUGUAGGGGGCUUAAACGGGAGCCUGCGGCUUAAUUUGACUCAACACGGGGAAACUCACCAGGUCCAGACACAAGUAGGAUUGACAGAUUGAGAGCUCUUUCUUGAUUUUGUGGGUGGUGGUGCAUGGCCGUUCUUAGUUGGUGGAGUGAUUUGUCUGCUUAAUUGCGAUAACGAACGAGACCUUAACCUGCUAAAUAGCCCGCGUUGCCUUGGCAGCGCGCUGGCUUCUUAGAGGGACUAUCGGCUCAAGCCGAUGGAAGUUUGAGGCAAUAACAGGUCUGUGAUGCCCUUAGAUGUUCUGGGCCGCACGCGCGCUACACUGACAGAGCCAGCGAGUACUCCCUUGGCCGGAAGGCCCGGGUAAUCUUGUUAAACUCUGUCGUGCUGGGGAUAGAGCAUUGCAAUUAUUGCUCUUCAACGAGGAAUCCCUAGUAAGCGCAAGUCAUCAGCUUGCGUUGAUUACGUCCCUGCCCUUUGUACACACCGCCCGUCGCUACUACCGAUUGAAUGGCUCAGUGAGGCUUUCGGACUGGCCCAGAGAGGUUGGCAACGACCACUCAGG